AUGAACGCUGGCGGCGUGCUUAACACAUGCCAGUCGAACGGUGAACACGGAGCUUGCUCUGUGGGAUCAGUGGCGAACGGGUGAGUAACACGUGAGCAACCUGCCCCUGACUCUGGGAUAAGCGCUGGAAACGGCGUCUAAUACUGGAUAUGUGACGUGACCGCAUGGUCUGCGUUUGGAAAGAUUUUUCGGUUGGGGAUGGGCUCGCGGCCUAUCAGCUUGUUGGUGAGGUAAUGGCUCACCAAGGCGUCGACGGGUAGCCGGCCUGAGAGGGUGACCGGCCACACUGGGACUGAGACACGGCCCAGACUCCUACGGGAGGCAGCAGUGGGGAAUAUUGCACAAUGGGCGCAAGCCUGAUGCAGCAACGCCGCGUGAGGGAUGACGGCCUUCGGGUUGUAAACCUCUUUUAGCAGGGAAGAAGCGAAAGUGACGGUACCUGCAGAAAAAGCGCCGGCUAACUACGUG
rnacentral:rRNA from 1 species